rnacentral:rRNA from 1 species
AGACCCGAAACCCGGUGAUCUAGCCAUGGGCAGGUUGAAGGUUGGGUAACACUAACUGGAGGACCGAACCGACUAAUGUUGAAAAAUUAGCGGAUGACCUGUGGCUGGGGGUGAAAGGCCAAUCAAACCGGGAGAUAGCUGGUUCUCCCCGAAAGCUAUUUAGGUAGCGCCUCGUGAAUUCAUCUCCGGGGGUAGAGCACUGUUUCGGCUAGGGGGCCAUCCCGGCUUACCAACCCGAUGCAAACUGCGAAUACCGGAGAAUGUUAUCACGGGAGACACACGGCGGGUGCUAACGUCCGUCGUGAAGAGGGAAACAACCCAGACCGCCAGCUAAGGUCCCAAAGUCAUGGUUAAGUGGGAAACGAUGUGGGAAGGCCCAGACAGCCAGGAUGUUGGCUUAGAAGCAGCCAUCAUUUAAAGAAAGCGUAAUAGCUCACUGGUCGAGUCGGCCUGCGCGGAAGAUGUAACGGGGCUAAACCAUGCACCGAAGCUGCGGCAGCGACGCUGAUGCGUUGUUGGGUAGGGGAGCGUUCUGUAAGCCUGUGAAGGUGGCCUGUGAGGGUUGCUGGAGGUAUCAGAAGUGCGAAUGCUGACAUAAGUAACGAUAAAGCGGGUGAAAAGCCCGCUCGCCGGAAGACCAAGGGUUCCUGUCCAACGUUAAUCGGGGCAGGGUGAGUCGACCCCUAAGGCGAGGCCGAAAGGCGUAGUCGAUGGGAAACGGGUUAAUAUUCCCGUACUUGGUGUUACUGCGAUGGGGGGACGGAGAAGGCUAUGUUGGCCGGGCGACGGUUGUCCCGGUUUAAGCGUGUAGGUGUGUGUUCCAGGUAAAUCCGGUUCACUUUAACACUGAGGCGUGAUGACGAGGCACUACGGUGCUGAAGCAACAAAUGCCCUGCUUCCAGGAAAAGCCUCUAAGCAUCAGGUAACAUCAAAUCGUACCCCAAACCGACACAGGUGGUC